rnacentral:rRNA from 1 species
AUUGAACGCUGGCGGCAUGCCUUACACAUGCAAGUCGAACGGUAACGGGCCUUCGGGUGCCGACGAGUGGCGAACGGGUGAGUAAUACAUCGGAACGUGCCCGAUCGUGGGGGAUAACGAGGCGAAAGCUUUGCUAAUACCGCAUACGAUCUACGGAUGAAAGCAGGGGACCGCAAGGCCUUGCGCGGACGGAGCGGCCGAUUGCAGAUUAGGUAGUUGGUGGGAUAAAAGCUUACCAAGCCGACGAUCUGUAGCUGGUCUGAGAGGAUGAUCAGCCACACUGGGACUGAGACACGGCCCAGACUCCUACGGGAGGCAGCAGUGGGGAAUUUUGGACAAUGGGCGCAAGCCUGAUCCAGCCAUGCCGCGUGCAGGAUGAAGGCCUUCGGGUUGUAAACUGCUUUUGUACGGAACGAAAAGCCUUCUUUUAAUACAGGAGGGUCAUGACGGUACCGUAAGAAUAAGCACCGGCUAACUACGUG